UCUCACACUGUCUGUUCUCUCUGCUGACACCUUCCCUGGUUGGACGGAGAAGUCUUUUAUUACUUUCCUACUGCUUCGGUGAGACACUAUGACCAAAGUUAACUGGGAGAGGAAAACCGGAAGAACUUUAUUUGGCUCAUGUAUUCUGCACCACAGUCUAUGCUGGGACGCCAAGGCAUGAACCCAAUCCAGAAACUUGCUUUUUCCCAGAGAGGUCCUUUAAAAGUGUUGGACCACUGACUGCAGUUCCGUUCACGGCCACAGACAGUGGCUGGGGUGGUUGGCAGGAGAGACACGUGAAGGACUGAUUUGCCUUUCCAUGACACGCAGGCGGGUGGCACGGUGCCCAGGACUGCAGUACAAAGGCCACCCCUAGAUCAGGUAAGGCCCCAUCUGAGCACAGAAAAUACAUAUUUGAGAAACGUCAGCACCAAGGAUGUCAUUUUUUCUGUUCCAGGAUAUUCGUUUGAAAAAACGGGAACAAUAAUAAAACAUAACACAGUGACUCCUGGGCCUGGACUAUUUUGCCAUGUGACCACACUGACCAAGAAACAGAAGGGGCAACACAGCUAAAGCGUUAUAAAAAAAAAACAACGUGAAGUGCUAAACGUGUUCCCUUCCAUUUUGAAAGAGGCUCCAUCCUUCUCGGCUGAGCGUACCAAAGACUAAGCGAGCGGGUGCCCGAGAGUAUAAACAUUGCUCACAGCCUUGCGCCCCAGAGAAGCAAGAA
rnacentral:lncRNA from 1 species